AAAAAUUUCCGUCGAUUCACUCAAAUUCCCUGGAGGCCCCAUGGCUUAGGUUCAACAGCAUAGAGUUAGAAAAUAAAUUCAGCUAUAAACCGUUUUUCUUCCUUCACCAAUAAUUACAAUUUCAAAUUUGAAAUCCAAUACCCCCAAACUCCCCAUUACAAAAGUCCAAUCCCUCUCUUAGUUUCUCCACAAUUCCAAUUCCAAUUCCAAUUUCGAAAUCCAUCUGGGAAUUCUCAGACAAAGAAGAUGAAAGCAUCUCUGAAAUUCCGUGAAGACCAGAAACCAUUAUUGAGAGCGAAAAUCCCUCUCACCAUUCUCGGCCUCCCUUUCCAAUCCGCCAUAGCCGCCGGAACCUCUAAAGAACUCACUCUCAAGCUCUCAACUCACUUCGAAUCCGGCCCCUCCUUCAAUCUCGCAUAUCGCCCCAACGAUUCUUCAAACCCCUUCUCUGUAAUCGUCAAAACCGGAAUCGCCUCCUUCGGCUCCCCGACCUCUUCCCCUAUGCUCAUGAGCGCCGAAUUCAACUUAAUCGCCUCUGGAAACCCCACUUUCAUGCUCCACUUCAAGCCUAAAUUCGGCGAUUUCACGGUCAAGAAAUCGCAAUCCUCGUCCGUGAUGUUCCAGAAGGUUUUGAAAUCGGAGGAGGAAUCUGUGGAUGUUAAAACUGCUGUUUCGAAGGCAGUUUUGGGUUUGAAGGUGUCGGCUAGUACGGCGGUUCCGAUUAUGAAAUCCGGCGCCGUGAGGGUUCGUUGGGGUCUUAGGGUUCCUGCUGCGGAGGGGAUGAAGAUGGGUGGUGGGAUUUCGUUUAGGGAGGUUCCGUUUAUGGUGCUGGAUAAGAUCGGGUUCGAACACGUGGACGGUGGGGAUACGAGUACGAAGGAGGGUAGUUUGGGAAAUGGGGAUUUGAAUUUGGAUUCGGAUUGCUUUUCAGUGAAACGUCAGUUUGAGGUUCUGAAGUUAGAGAAUGGGUUAUUGAGAAAAAGCAUAGACGAUCUUAGGAAGAAAAUGAAGUUGUUCUCCAAUUCCGGCAGCCGAUAUAAGGAUAGAAAGGGGCCGGAGUUGGGUGGUUUUGAUGGAUUGCCGCCAGAUGACACGGCGGCGGGGGUUGAGGAGCUGAGGAAACCGGCGCUGUCCAGUGCCUGAAUUCGUCGAUAUGACAAACGUCAGUUUAAAUUGAAGGCUGUGCUUGAGGUCUUAUCCGAAGUAAGCAUUAUUACUGAGGUUGUCGUACGAUCGAGACUAACACGAGAGAGAGAGAGCUGAGAAGUUUGAGGUUUAUUUGUACAUUCUCCAUUUGCUGUUGAAACGAAUGAGGAUGAAGAAAGAAUAAUCUCGUUGGGAGAAGAAAGAAGAAGAAGAAUAUGAUGAUGAAGUGCGCUAUGUGUUACUCCGUUUGCUUCGCUGGAGAAGGUAGAAGAAGAAAAAGAAGUAGUUGUUGUUGAUGAAAGGAAGAAGAAGAAAAUGAAGUUGUCGAAAAGUUGUGCGUUGGAGGGAAAAACUUUCGUGAAAUUGUGUGGGUAAAUCGAUGAUGAGAACAUGUAAUCGUGGGUCAUUCUUUUUUUUUUUCACUUUUUAGUCGGCUUUUUUGGUAUUUCACGUGCCUUUUGCGCUUGUAGGCUAAAAUUAUAAUUGAUGACCAUUUUAAGAAUAAGAAUUAAGGAUAUAACAACAUUAAAAAAAUUGCAAA